AGGUUCUGAGCAGUGAGAAACGAUUGUUGCUGAUGUGGAGUUUUGUAACGGUGGACCCCACAGUCUAUGACAGAAACAAGUAGGACAGAAAAUUCCAUCUUCAUCAAUAACAAAAGAAAAAGGAGGUUUGCAUUUUAAGUUAUCACAAAUAGGAGCAGUACAUAUUGGCAGCCAUGUAGCUUUGUAGUUGCUUCGAAGAAUUUUUUUCCUUGUCUGGUGAUUGGUUGGACUUUGAAUACCUCCUAUCCUUAUAGCCAUGGAACACUUGACAUUUGACUCCAUUUACACUUGCAGAAACAAAAACGAACAUGUUUGCAACAAGUAUUUUUUGUGACCAUGAAACAAAAAAUUGUGAAUUUUUUUUAAGUACCUAUAUUUAGAAGACAUCUAACGGAGGAAUUGCUUGUUACUGAGUACUCUACUGAACUGUCAAUUUGUUCGUUGU